GUGUCAUAACAGAGCCAGAGCUGACACAGGAGAAGGACAUGACCAAAGACGUGAAUGAGAUAAGACAGACUGGAAGGGGCAGAGUAAGACUUACUGGAGGAAGAAGGUCUGGGCUCCAGGAGGUCAAGGGUCACAGGCAGUGUCGGAGCAGAUUAGACGAGAGAGGAACGGGUCACACAGGAGGUCGUGGAGGCAGCAGUCUAAGCAAAGAUGCACAGACUUCCCGAUCCAGGCACACUUCGUCAGGCUACUCUGGGGGAACCCAAAGCGACACCAGGUCAGCUCAGAGACGAAGUUCCACCAACAUGUCCUGGGCCUUCCUCGAG